AGCUUCUUGGCAGAUUCUCUUGCUUCUUUUGUCUUACAGUCCAGUUCUGAGACAAGAUGUCCAAUAGACUUUGCCUGAAGUGAAGGUUUAUACACUGAACACGAUAUCAUGUGGUCUCCAAUAUCCCUUUGGUCCGCUGGAGUCAGCUGUCCCAGCUGUAUUCCCUCCCAAAUGCCUCUGCACCUCCAGUCUACUCACUGGUGGAGUUUUGUGAGAGGUAGAAAAGAUGCCCCUUUUAAGGAUGUCAUCCAAGGCUCCCUUCACAUCAAAUGAAAAGAGAGAGGAAGCUUUGAGAUGGAUUCAGACUGUGUGAAGACUGAAUUGUUCCUUGUGCUUCCUUCUCAGUAGCUGAAGACUUAGGACAAUUGCAAAAUACCCUUCAGAAGUAAGAGAAAGGUUUCUUCAA